GAUGACCUAGGUUUAAAGAUUAUAUAGUUUAGUAGGAAAAGAAGUAAUUGAGGUUUUAGUUUUAAAAAAAAAACGAAUUAAAGAGGGCUUCGGGAUAGGGAAUAUGCUGGCGACGUGAAUAAGGGAUAGAGGGGCAUCGAAGUCUUCUUUGAUAAUCACUGGUAACAGAUUAAUUUUAGAGCAAAAGAGUUGGUGUGCUAACUCGUUAACGGACGAGGCUAAGGGAAAAGCUUCAGGUAUAUUAAAUCUUCAUAUGCCUUAUGAUUGUGGUAUGUCAACUACUGAAGUUAGCAGUAUGUGCUAUAAGAAUUAAUUACUUUGCCAUGAUUUAGUAAAUAUAGUAAUUAAGAUGAGGAGCAAUGAUUAUCAUAUGAUUGGCUUUUAGUAUUAGACUUGUAAAAUUGCAAUUCUAAUGUGAUAGCUACUGCUGAGAACCCUUAUUAACGUUGAUUACACCAAUUGUUGUGAAUUUUUAUUCUUAAUUAAAGAAAGAUUUUGACUGGAAGCACUCUAUGGCUUUUACAAGUGAAAUCCGAGUACUAAUUCAUAGAAUUGAGAGUAAAUAUAGAGUUUAGAUUGAAGGUAUUGCUUUAUAAGAAUUUGUGUUGAGAUUGAGAUAUUGGGAUAUAUCUUUUUAUUUAGGUAUAAGAUAUUAAGAUUUAGCUUAAAGCUUGAAAGUUAGGGAGAUUUAAAUUUGAUCUCGACUAGCAUAAUUAAUUUUGUUAAUUAAUAUUUUGGAUAGAUUGAGGCCGUUUGGUUGGUGUUCUUGACGUUGCAAGGUUGGAGAACUUCCCGUUAGUAAGGUAAGUGAGACUUUAAACUUUGAUACUUGCUUUUCUAAAAUCAGUUUUAAAAAUGUGUUUUCUCUGCCCGGUCCAUGUGUUGGGACAAGCGUGCACUUGAUAGAAUCGGUGGUCUUGGACUAGUCGCAAAUAUAUUAUUUUAUGAAAAAAAAAUUAUUUUAUAAGUUGCUUGAUGGCAUGAUACGGCUGUGAGCCAUGAUGUUGAGGUUGAUAGUUUGAUACGGCUGUGAGCCAUGGUGUUGAGUUUGAUACGGCUGUGCGCCGUGUUAUUGAGUUUGAUACGGCUGUGCGCCAUGAUAUUGAGUUUGAUACAGCUGUGCGCCAUGAUAUUGAGUUUGAUACGGUUGUGCGCCAUGAUAUUGAGUUUGAUAGUCUGAUACGGGUGUGAGCCAUGUUGUUGAGUUUGAGACGGCUGUGCGCCAUGAUGUUGAGUUUGAUAGUUUGAUACGACUGUGAGCCAUGGUGUUGAGUUUGAUACAGUUGUGCGCCAUGAUGUUGGGGCAUUGUGUAUGCCUUUCUACAUCACUCUAGCAUUGUUUAUGCUUCUUGAUAUUUAUAUUUGGGGCACUGUGUAUGCACUGUUACACAUUUGAGGCAUUGUGGUGCCGUUGUGGACUCGUAAAGGUAUUGUUUAAUUUCUUUCACUGCAGUCAUGACAAGUCCUUAGUGUAUAUGUGUACUCUUGUUAGUUAAUUCUUAUUAACUCUGUCGAUAAAUAUGUAUUGAGUUAUUGUAUAAUUAUCGUAUUUAUUAUAUCGUUCUUGUUGUGGUGUAUUUAUAUUUUCUAACACUUGUUCCAGAGGUAUUCAAAGUGGCGGGUCGAGGAUUUUACUGGGUUAUAUUUAUGUAUAACUCACUCCUUACCUGCAUCUCUAUGCGGAUACUAUUGCGGACAAUAGAGCUAGUGGCUGAAGAGUUCGUUCGGACCGAUUCUGUUGCUGAGGUGAGCCACCGCAUUGUUUGUGGAGGCUGUCACUGCACCUUUAUCCAGUUUAUGUUAGUUAUUUCCUUUUCUUUGGGGUUUGCAUACCCGCCAGUUUAACUCAUUCACUCUGUUAGAUAAUCCAUGGUCUUAGUGUGGGUUUUGAGUUAGAGUAUUAUUAUUUGAGUAACUGUUGGUCAUUCUAUCAAUUGACUAAGGUAUUGGUUGGUAACUAUUUUAUUUUUUUAAAUUAUUAAUAAUGCUCUUAGAACU
rnacentral:lncRNA from 1 species